rnacentral:rRNA from 1 species
UACGGGGGGGGCAAGCGUUGUUCGGAAUUACUGGGCGUAAAGGGCUCGUAGGUGGCCAACUAAGUCAGACGUGAAAUCCCUCAGCUUAACUGGGGAACUGCGUCUGAUACUGGAUGGCUUGAGUUUGGGAGAGGGAUGCGGAAUUCCAGGUGUAGCGGUGAAAUGCGUAGAUAUCUGGAGGAACACCGGUGGCGAGGGCGGCAUCCUGGACCAACACUGACACUGAGGAGCGAAAGCCAGGGGAGCAAACGGG